rnacentral:rRNA from 1 species
CUACGGGCGGCAGCAGUUGAGGAAAUUUUACAAUGCUCGAAAGAGUGAUAGAAUUAGCCAGAGUGUUUCUCACAUGAGAAACUUUUGUUUGUUGUAAAAAGGCAAACGAAUAAGGACUGGGCAAGACACGGUGCCAGCCGCCGCGGUAAUACCGGCGGUCCGAGUCGCAUCCACAUUUAUUGGGUCUAAAACAUUCGUAGCUUGUUUUGUAAGUCUUUUGUGAAAUCUCAUAUCUCAAGUAUGAGGCGGGCAAGAGGUACUGCAUUACUAGAGACCGGAAGACGUAAGGAGUACGAUUAAGGUAGCGGUAAAAUGUGUUAAUCUUGAUCGGACUAACAAUGGCGAAGGCACCUUACGAGUACGGAUCUGACAGUGAGGGAUGAAGGCUAGGGGCGCAAAAGGGAUUAGAUACCCGGGUAGUC